UCGGGCAUCCGAAGAGGUUGAAAGCUCCGGCGGUGAAGGAUGAGCCCUGCGGCCUAUCAGCUUGUUGGUGGGGUAAUGGCCCACCAAGGCGACGACGGGUAGCCGGCCUGAGAGGGCGACCGGCCACACUGGGACUGAGACACGGCCCAGACUCCUACGGGAGGCAGCAGUGGGGAAUAUUGCACAAUGGGCGAAAGCCUGAUGCGGCGACGCCGCGUGAGGGAUGACGGCCUUCGGGUUGUAAACCUCUUUCAGCAGGGAAGAAGCGCAAGUGACGGUACCUGCAGAAGAAGCGCCGGCUAACUAC
rnacentral:rRNA from 1 species